rnacentral:rRNA from 1 species
UACGGGGGGAGCAAGCGUUGUUCGGAUUUACUGGGCGUAAAGGGCGCGUAGGCGGUCAGCACAAGUCAGUUGUGAAAUCUCCGGGCUUAACUCGGAAAGGUCAACUGAUACUGUGCGACUAGAGUGCGGAAGGGGCAACUGGAAUUCUCGGUGUAGCGGUGAAAUGCGUAGAUAUCAAGAGGAACACCUGAGGUGAAGACGGGUUGCUGGGCUGAUACUGACGCUGAAGCGCGAAAGCUAGGGUAGCAAACGGG